rnacentral:rRNA from 1 species
GACGAACGCUGGCGGCGUGCUUAACACAUGCAAGUCGAACGGAAAGGCCCUGCUUUUGUGGGGUUCUCGAGUGGCGAUCGUGUGUGUAACACGUGAGUAACCUGCCCUUGACUUUGGGAUAACUUCAGGAAACUGGGGCUAAUACCGGAUAGGAGCUCCUGCUGCAUGGUGUGGUUUGGAAAGUUUCGUCGGUUGGUGAUGGUCUCGCUGCUUAUCAGCUUGUUGGUGGGGUAGUGGCUUACCAAGGCUUUGACGGGUAGCCGGCCUGAGAGGGUGACCGGCCACAUUGGGACUGAGAUACGGAGCAGACUCCAACGGGAGGCAGCAGUGGGAAAUAUUGCACAAUGGGGGGAAGCGUGAUGAAGAAACGCGGCGAGCGGGAUGACGGCCGUCGGGUUGUAAACAGAUGUAGAAUGAGACGAAGAGUGAGUGACGGUAAUGGGUAAAGAAGCACCGGCUAACUACGUG